rnacentral:rRNA from 1 species
UGUGGAACUAAGCGUGCGACAAGUAGGGCGGGACACGAGAAAUCCUGUCUGAAUAUGGGGGGACCAUCCUCCAAGGCUAAAUACUCGUAAUCGACCGAUAGUGAACCAGUACCGUGAGGGAAAGGCGAAAAGAACCCCGGGAGGGGAGUGAAAUAGAUCCUGAAACCGUGUGCAUACAAACAGUAGGAGCGGACUUGUUCCGUGACUGCGUACCUUUUGUAUAAUGGGUCAGCGACUUACAUUCAGUGGCAAGGUUAACCAUAUAGGGAAGCCGUAGAGAAAUCGAGUCCGAACAGGGCGAUAGUCGCUGGGUGUAGACCCGAAACCAAGUGAUCUACUCAUGGCCAGGAUGAAGGUGCGGUAACACGCACUGGAGGUCCGAACCCACUAAUGUUGAAAAAUUAGGGGAUGAGCUGUGGGUAGGGGUGAAAGGCUAAACAAACUUGGAAAUAGCUGGUUCUCUCCGAAAACUAUUUAGGUAGUGCCUCAAGUAUCACCAUCGGGGGUAGAGCACUGUUAUGGCUAGGGGGUCAUCGCGACUUACCAAACCAUUGCAAACUCCGAAUACCGAUGAGUGCGAGCUUGGGAGACAGACGUCGGGUGCUAACGUCCGGCGUCAAGAGGGAAACAACCCAGACCGCCAGCUAAGGUCCCAAAGAUUGGCUAAGUGGAAAACGAAGUGGGAAGGCUAAAACAGUCAGGAUGUUGGCUUAGAAGCAGCCAUCAUUUAAAGAAAGCGUAAUAGCUCACUGAUCGAGUCGUCCUGCGCGGAAGAUGUAACGGGGCUAAGCCAGUCACCGAAGCUGCGGAUAUGCGUAAGCAUAUGGUAGGAGAGCGUUCUGUAAGCCUGCGAAGGUGUCUUGUAAAGGAUGCUGGAGGUAUCAGAAGUGCGAAUGCUGACAUGAGUAGCGAUAAUGGGGGUAAAAAGCCCCCACGCCGUAAGCCCAAGGUUUCCUGUUCAACGUUCAUCGGAGCAGGGUGAGUCGGCCCCUAAGGCGAGGCAGAGAUGCGUAGCUGAUGGGAAGCAGGUUAAUAUUCCUGCACCGUCGUAUGAUGCGAUGGGGGGACGGAUCGCGGAAGGUUGUCUGCCUGUUGGAAUAGGCAGUUUCUGGUUCAUAGAAGGCGCUUAGGCAAAUCCGGGCGCAGAAUUCAAGGGACUGGGACGAGGCACUUAGGCACUGAAGCAAUCGGAAGUGGUUCCAAGAAAAGCCUCUAAGCUUCAGUCAUACGAGACCGUACCGCAAACCGACACAGGUGGGCGAGAUGAGUAUUCUAAGGCGCUUGAGAGAACUCGGGAGAAGGAACUCGGCAAAUUGGUACCGUAACUUCGGGAAAAGGUACGCCCUUGUAGCUUGGCUGAUUUACUUCAGUAGGGCGAACGGGUUGCAAUAAACUGGUGGCUGCGACUGUUUAAUAAAAACACAGCACUCUGCAAACACGAAAGUGGACGUAUAGGGUGUGACGCCUGCCCGGUGCUGGAAGAUUAAAUGAUGGGGUGCAAGCUCUUGAUUGAAGUCCCAGUAAACGGCGGCCGUAACUAUAACGGUCCUAAGGUAGCGAAAUUCCUUGUCGGGUAAGUUCCGACCUGCACGAAUGGCGUAACGAUGGCCACACUGUCUCCUCCCGAGACUCAGCGAAGUUGAAGUGUUUGUGAUGAUGCAAUCUACCCGCGGCUAGACGGAAAGACCCCAUGAACCUUUACUGUAGCUUUGCAUUGGACUUUGAAUCAAUCUGUGUAGGAUAGGUGGGAGGCUUUGAAGCGGGGACGCCAGUCCUCGUGGAGCCAACCUUGAAAUACCACCCUGGUUCAUUUGAGGUUCUAACCUUGGCCCGUUAUCCGGGUCGGGGACAGUGCAUGGUAGGCAGUUUGACUGGGGCGGUCUCCUCCUAAAGUGUAACGGAGGAGUUCGAAGGUACGCUAGUUACGGUCGGACAUCGUGACGAUAGUGCAAUGGCAUAAGCGUGCUUAACUGCGAGACUGACAAGUCGAGCAGGUACGAAAGUAGGACAUAGUGAUCCGGUGGUUCUGUAUGGAAGGGCCAUCGCUCAACGGAUAAAAGGUACUCUGGGGAUAACAGGCUGAUUCCUCCCAAGAGUUCAUAUCGACGGGGGAGUUUGGCACCUCGAUGUCGGCUCAUCACAUCCUGGGGCUGUAGCCGGUCCCAAGGGUAUGGCUGUUCGCCAUUUAAAGUGGUACGUGAGCUGGGUUU